GGGACUCUAAGUGGAAAAGUCCAGACCAGGUAGAGGACCUCCGAGUGGAAAAGUCUACACCAGGUAGAGGGCCUCCAGUCUACGCCAGGUAGAGGGCCUCCAGGUGGAAAAGCCCUGCCAGGUGGAGGGCCUCCAGGUGGAAAAGUCUAUGCCAGGUGGAGGGCCUCCAGGUGGAAAACCUCUCCCAGGUAGAGGGCCUCCAGGUGGACAAGUCUAUGCCAGGUGGAGGGCCUCCAGGUGGAAAAGUCUACGCCAGGUGGAGGGCCUCCAGGUGGCAAAGUCUACGCCAGGUGGAGGGCCUCCAGGUGGAAAAGCCCGGUGGUGUGCCUUGGGGGGCGGCCUGGGAAGGAAAGCCGGGAGGCAGCUCAGGGCCUCCAUAGAAGAGCUGGAGGAGCAGCUACCUGUUUCCAUCAAGGACCCGAGCCC